rnacentral:rRNA from 1 species
UGCAAGUCGAGCGAAUGGAUUAAGAGCUUGCUCUUAUGAAGUUAGCGGCGGACGGGUGAGUAACACGUGGGUAACCUGCCCAUAAGACUGGGAUAACUCCGGGAAACCGGGGCUAAUACCGGAUAACAUUUUGAACCGCAUGGUUCGAAAUUGAAAGGCGGCUUCGGCUGUCACUUAUGGAUGGACCCGCGUCGCAUUAGCUAGUUGGUGAGGUAACGGCUCACCAAGGCAACGAUGCGUAGCCGACCUGAGAGGGUGAUCGGCCACACUGGGACUGAGACACGGCCCAGACUCCUACGGGAGGCAGCAGUAGGGAAUCUUCCGCAAUGGACGAAAGUCUGACGGAGCAACGCCGCGUGAGUGAUGAAGGCUUUCGGGUCGUAAAACUCUGUUGUUAGGGAAGAACAAGUGCUAGUUGAAUAAGCUGGCACCUUGACGGUACCUAACCAGAAAGCCACGGCUAACUACGUGCCAGCAGCCGCGGUAAUACGUAGGUGGCAAGCGUUAUCCGGAAUUAUUGGGCGUAAAGCGCGCGCAGGUGGUUUCUUAAGUCUGAUGUGAAAGCCCACGGCUCAACCGUGGAGGGUCAUUGGAAACUGGGAGACUUGAGUGCAGAAGAGGAAAGUGGAAUUCCAUGUGUAGCGGUGAAAUGCGUAGAGAUAUGGAGGAACACCAGUGGCGAAGGCGACUUUCUGGUCUGUAACUGACACUGAGGCGCGAAAGCGUGGGGAGCAACAGGAUUAGAUACCCUGGUAGUCCACGCCGUAAACGAUGAGUGCUAAGUGUUAGAGGGUUUCCGC